UGACCAUGGUCGGCAGUGAUCAGAAGGUC
rnacentral:piRNA from 2 species